rnacentral:rRNA from 1 species
GAUGAACGCUGGCGGCGUGCCUAAUACAUGCAAGUAGAACGCUGAAGGAGGAGCUUGCUCUUCUGGAUGAGUUGCGAACGGGUGAGUAACGCGUAUGUAACCUGCCUGGUAGCGGGGGAUAACUAUUGGAAACGAUAUCUAAUACCGCAUGACAACAGUUAUUGCAUGAUAACUGUUUAAAAGGGGCAACUGCUCCACUACCAGAUGGACCUGCGUUGUAUUAGCUAGUUGGUGAGGUAACGGCUCACCAAGGCGACGAUACAUAGCCGACCUGAGAGGGUGAUCGGCCACACUGGGACGGAGACACGGCCCAGACUCCUACGGGAGGCAGCAGUAGGGAAUCGUCGGCCAUGGACGGAAGACUGACCGAGCAACGCCGCGUGCGUGAAGAAGGUUUUCGGAUCGGAAAGCUCUGUUGUAAGAGAAGAACGAGCGUGAGAGUGGAAAGUUCACAAUGUGACGGUAUCUUAACAGAAAGGGACGGCUAACUACGUG